AUUGAACGCUGGCGGCAUGCCUUACACAUGCAAGUCGAACGGCAGCACGGGAGCAAUCCUGGUGGCGAGUGGCGAACGGGUGAGUAAUAUAUCGGAACGUGCCCAGUCGUGGGGGAUAACGUAGCGAAAGCUACGCUAAUACCGCAUACGAUCUACGGAUGAAAGCGGGGGAUCGCAAGACCUCGCGCGAUUGGAGCGGCCGAUAUCAGAUUAGGUAGUUGGUGAGGUAAGGCUCACCAAGCCGACGAUCUGUAGCUGGUCUGAGAGGACGACCAGCCACACUGGGACUGAGACACGGCCCAGACUCCUACGGGAGGCAGCAGUGGGGAAUUUUGGACAAUGGGCGCAAGCCUGAUCCAGCAAUGCCGCGUGCAGGAUG
rnacentral:rRNA from 1 species